UACGUAGGGUCCGAGCGUUGUCCGGAAUUAUUGGGCGUAAAGAGCUCGUAGGCGGCUUGUCGCGUCGUCCGUGAAAACCUGUGGCUCAACUGCAGGCUUGCGGUCGAUACGGGCAGGCUGGAGUUCGGUAGGGGAGACUGGAAUUCCUGGUGUAGCGGUGAAAUGCGCAGAUAUCAGGAGGAACACCAGUGGCGAAGGCGGCUCACUGGACCGGUACUGACGCUGAGGCGCGAAAGCGUGGGGAGCAAACAGG
rnacentral:rRNA from 1 species